rnacentral:rRNA from 1 species
AAACUCGAGCUAAUACCGCAUACGUCCUACGGGAGAAAGUGGGGGAUCUUCGGACCUCACGCUAUCAGAUGAGCCUAGGUCGGAUUAGCUAGUUGGUGAGGUAAAGGCUCACCAAGGCGACGAUCCGUAACUGGUCUGAGAGGAUGAUCAGUCACACUGGAACUGAGACACGGUCCAGACUCCUACGGGAGGCAGCAGUGGGGAAUAUUGGACAAUGGGCGAAAGCCUGAUCCAGCCAUGCCGCGUGUGUGAAGAAGGUCUUCGGAUUGUAAAGCACUUUAAGUUGGGAGGAAGGGCAGUAAGUUAAUACCUUGCUGUUUUGACGUUACCAACAGAAUAAGCACCGGCUAACUUCGUGCCAGCAGCCGCGGUAAUACGAA